rnacentral:lncRNA from 1 species
UUUAGCUUCGUCUCAGCUCGAUAUUACAAAAGGCAAACCCUUAGAGUUUCAUAGCUGGGUACCAAGUCCUAAUCAACUAUGAUAAUUUGAACAUUUUCUCCUUCAAAAAAUGACACCAAGCUUGCCAGUGCAUCUAUGUGUGAAUUCAAAUCUCUGCCCACUUGCUCGAUUUUUAUAGCUCAGAAUUUCUUGAGGAGAGGCUUUACCAGGCUUAAAACCUCUCGGUGACCUAAUUGACUACCAGUUUUGAAUCUCUGAAGAUGUGAAGCCCGAGAACCAGCAACUUCUUGGAAGAUCUCAAUCCUGGUAUGAAUGGUUCGUAUUCUGUUUCAUUGUUCUGGUAGGGAAAUUCAGCCAAAGGUAGUGCUCGAAGACUGUCCCCUCGAAUCUUUUUAGAACCACUCCUGCUCCUACACCUAGGUUGUUUUUGGACCCAUCGACGUACAUCUUCUAGGCUUUUGAUUGAUCAAUCUGAGGUGGUUCCUUAAGAACCUCGGGAACCUCAGGAGUAUCCUUAGUCUCAGGUGUUAUUUUGGCCACCACUGAUGUUCUUGAUGAGCUUUCUUCCUCUAUGUGGGCAAAUACAGGAUAACCCGAUUUUGGACUCAUAAUUCGAGGCGAGAACUCCACAACAAAAUCAGCCAAUACCUAGUUGGAAGGAACUUAAUGUCAAACUGUCCAAGUUCAACAACCCAUUUGGAUAGUCUCUCGAAAAAGUCUACCUUCACUAGCAUAUGGAGGGAAUCCCAGCAUAUGGAAGGCUUGAACCAAUUUUAGGAAUAUUUUGGGAGAAUUCUUUGUCUUGAAGAAUUCUUUCUCUUUCUAUUAUUUUAUUUUUCUAAUUUUCUUAGCUCUUAAGCAUAUAUCUAGUCCUAACUUGAAGAGAGUUAGAAAGAAGGAAGAAAAACACUUUGUUUUGGAGUUG